rnacentral:lncRNA from 10 species
CCUGUGAGUGGCCCUGGACACUGCCCUCGUCCCCGCCUGUGAGUGACCCUGGACACUGCCCUCGCCCCCGCCUGUGAGUGACCCUGGACACUGCCCUCGUCCCUGCCUGUGAGUGAUCCUGGACGCCGCCCCUGUCCCUGCCUGCUGCGGAAGAAGGUAGGAGGGCCUCACCCCUGCCAACGGUACCUUCUGAGCCUAGUUCCUCACUGGCCACUGUUUUUGGAAGUCCUCUUUGCAGAACUGGCCUCAAAGGCUCAAGGUCAAAGCACCCCCAUGAGCUGCUUUGGAAAAAGAGAUUUCAUCUGACAACAAGGGAGGCAGCUGAGCCAGGAACUUGUGAUGUCACUGGGCUUCUGGGCCAGCAGGAGGCUGAGAGGCACACAUGUAGAGAAAUACAAAGGUUCCCUCUUGUUUAAAUUAAGCAAAUUAAGAGGAAGUGGCCUGAAUUCCGUCUGUGGGCACCAUUUGCACAGAUGUGGUGGCCACAGAAGCCGCUCACCCUGCCCCAUUGCCCGAGGCAAGGAUGAGCCUGGUGGUGCCAGGCGCCGCUCUGAGACGUGGGACCCUCUCCCACUCUGUGGACCUCCCGACCCCUGAAUGCCUCUUGGAUGAGCAGAGAUGGUGGCCUCGGGCUGAGCCGGGCAGUUUCCAGGCCAGGCUGCAACGGGUGGCUCCUUCCUCUCCAUCCUGGCCAAAGCCUGUCCUGACGGUGGCUCAGGUAUGGCUGGAGUCUGAGUCAUUGGGUCCUUUGUCACUGAUCUGGCUGCUGGCCAGGAACUGGGACACUGAGGCCACAGCAUGGGGACAGGGAGAUCUGCCCACGUAAUGCACCUCGUGGACCUGUGGGGGCUGGUCCCCAAAGCAGCACCCAUCAUUUGGGAUUAUGGUCAACUGCAUCUAACAGAAGCCCAACUUUGGCAAUUUAAACAAACAGGGGGACAGAGAGGCAGCGUUGGGAAGAAGCAACUCCUGAGGACGUCAGUGGGAUCUCAGACUCACCCCCGCCCGACCAUCUGUCGCUUGACCUCACGGCCACAAAGUGGCUGCCACCCCUCCAAGCAUCACACCCACAUUCCAACAGGGAGAGGGAACGGGGCAAUGGCUAAGUCAGAAAGCCUGAGCCUCUCCCAGAAAUCCCCAGGGACUUGACACGAGGUCAUGCGUCGACACAAGGUCACACGUCACUGCAAGGGCAUCUGGGGAGUGUGGUUUCUAAAGCUGUCCUGCUAAACUCCACACCAAAUCGGAUCUGCUAGGAAGCAAAGGGGAGGGUGGGCCCAGUGGACUGCUGAUGGCUACUGCCACAGCCCGGGGAGAGAACAGAGCAGAGGGGACAGGUCAAGAGGUCAAGGGACCAAGGGAGCAAGGGGCCAAGAGGUCAAGAGGUCAAGAGGUCAAGCUGCCCAGCCCUCCAUCACAAGGGCCAGGCAGGGAGGGCACGAGACACGCCCGGGUGGAGAAGGCGGCUGCACACAAGUGAAAAUGGCCAUUUUGAGUUCAUUAAAAAAGUUAUGACACGUGUUUGUUUUUUAGAGCGGUUUAGGUUACAGGAAAUCGAGCAGAAAGUGCAGAGCCCCUCCCCCACCGCCAGCGUCCCCUGUAAUUAACACGUUAUGCUGGCGAGGCGCACCUCUUACCACAGGCGGGCCAUCACACGCGUUCAGUAACUAAAGUCCACAUUCGUGUCGGGGCCCCCGUGCUGCACAUCCUGUGGGUUUUGACAAAUGCAUAAUGACACGCGAUCGUGUGAAGACACGUAACGACGGGCAUCCAUCGUGCAUCACACAGCGGCGUUUCAAUGCUCCCAGAGUCCUCUGUGUGGGUACCAGCUCUGCAUUUAUUUAAUCCUCACCACCCACCUCGAGGAAGCUUGGAUUAUUGCAGACAUUCUACAGAAAAGGAAACUGAGGCAUCAAUCCACUAACCUCAUUCCCUGGGGAGUGGAGCUGGCAUUGGACAUCAUGUGUGACUGGUCCUGGUGUGAAUUCUCCCCAGGGAGCAGAGCCCGCAUUGGACAGCACACGGGACUGGUCCCAGUCUGAGCUCUCAAAGGAGUGGGGUUCACAUCCUCAGCGUUUUGUCUGUAAUUAUUACACUUAGUCCAGGUGUAAUUACCCAUAAUUUGAGGAGGAAAGCGGUCAUGUAUUUACCUUGUAAUUUGCAGUCGCACCUUAGACUGAUGUGCUGCCUCUUCCUGCGGAAAGCUCCGGAACCCUUGAAGAAUCUGCAGAGCGCAGACAGCACAGCGAGGGCCCCGCCCGGACCUGUUCCCACCUGGCCAAGCUCCCUGCUGGCUCCUCUCCCCUGGGCUGCCUUCACCCGCACACUGAGUGACCCGACGCCCGCUACACAGAAGGUCGUGUCGCAGUGGGGGGUGCCCAGGUCUCCCCGUGGGGCGGAGGGAAGCCUCUGUAGCUGUGGGCUUGCAAAUGUGAGAUGUGGGUGCCCAAAGGCCCGGCAACGGUCCAACAGGGCCGCCUUGGGGA